rnacentral:misc_RNA from 1 species
AAGUCGUAACAAGGUUUCCGUAGGUGAACCUGCGGAAGGAUCAUUAACACGUUAUCCACGUAUCACCAAAGAUAAACGUUUUCUACCGGAGGGGCAAACUGAACACGCGUAAGCCGUAGCUCGGGAGGAGGCUCGAAAUUGGGUAAAUCCAUGAUCGCCACGCUAUGGGUGCCACUCUCUGCAAGGGCUUGCUUUUUGGCGGCUCCGAUGGGUACUGUUGUAUUUGCUCCACAAGGCCACUUCUGAUGGGGAAAGCACCUCUUUGUAGACUCUAUCAGGAACGUUACUUUACAAUUCUAACCCCUUUUUGCUAGUUGACUUUUAUAUGUUGUUCUUUGCUUCGGCAAGGUUCACACGUUUAAUUAUUUGAACGUUAAAAAUACAACUCUUAGCAAUGGAUAUCUAGGUUCUC